GGUGAACGCUGGCGGCGUGCCUAAUACAUGCAAGUCGAGCGAAUGGAUUAAGAGCUUGCUCUUAUGAAGUUAGCGGCGGACGGGUGAGUAACACGUGGGUAACCUGCCCAUAAGACUGGGAUAACUCCGGGAAACCGGGGCUAAUACCGGAUAACAUUUUGAACCGCAUGGUUCGAAAUUGAAAGGCGGCUUCGGCUGUCACUUAUGGAUGGACCCGCGUCGCAUUAGCUAGUUGGUGAGGUAACGGCUCAACAAGGCAACGAUGCGUAGCCGACCUGAGAGGGUGAACGGCCACACUGGGACUGAGACACGGCCCAGACUCCUACGGGAGGCAGCAGUAGGGAAUCUUCCGCAAUGGACGAAAGUCUGACGGGGCAACGCCGCGUGAGUGAUGAAGGCUUUCGGGUCGUAAAACUCUGUUGUUAGGGAAGAACAAGUGCUAGUUGAAUAAGCUGGCACCUUGACGGUACCUAACCAGAAAGCCACGGCUAACUACGUGCCAGCCGCCGCGGUAA
rnacentral:rRNA from 1 species